GUCCCUGUAGUGCAAUGGAUAGCGCAAUGGACUUCUAAUCCAAAGGUCGUGGGUUAGAAUCCCACCUGGGAUG